GCCACCCUUACUCAUUACAGAACAUUCUCUCUUCUUAUCUUGCCUUUUUUUAGCCUGAAGGACAAAGACGGAGAGAGGAGUCUUGAUUUUCCUUGUUAGUCUGCUCCAGCUGGCAGCCUUGCCAAUCUCUAAUAUCAGUUGUGAUGUGACAGUUAUUUUUUUUUUAACUCUAGCAUCUCAUUUUAUGCAAUUUUAUGGGUAACAGGAUGGGAAUUCAGCUUAGAAAACUUUUGACAAACAAUCAUUCAACAAUAAAAAUGAGGACAAAAAGGAUGACUAUGACAAGCAAAAUAAAACAGCCCCUGCUAUGCCAAGAAUGUACACUAAUCAUGUGUCCAAGGGACACGCUUCUUAUCUGUUUAAUAAUGACCUGGAACCUCCUUCUCAUCACAUCUCUCUUGGGCUCUGUAGUCGCCCAAAGCUGACUCAUGUCUGAAUUUAGAACAGUGGACACCCAGAGCCUCAGACUCUGAGCUUCAGAAGGGACCUCAGUGUGCAUUCUGGUUGAUUGGGUCCACCGCGUCCCCCACACAUGUUGGGAGUUAGAGAAACAAGAAUGAAGAGGGUUAUGGGUUGAACUGCAUCCCCUGAAAAGAUGUGUCAAAGCCUUAAUCCCCAGCACUUGUGGACGCACCCUUAUUUGGAAAUAGGGUCUCUGCAGAUGUAAUCAAGUUUCAGAUGAGGUCAUUAGGGUGGCCCCAAUCCAAUACAACUGCUGUCCUUCCCAGAGGAGGAGGGAUCCUGGGACAGACACAGGAGAGGAGAACACCAUGUAACAGAUGGAGGCAGAACUCGAAGGGCUGCAGCUGUGAGCUUAGAGAGCCAAGGACUGCUGGCAACCCAUCCAAAUCCAGCAAGAGGCAAGGAAAGAUGCUCCCCUCCAGGUUUCAGAAGGAGCCUGACCGUGCCAAUACCUUGAUUUCAGACUUCAGCCUCCAAAAUGAUGCUUUAGUUUCAAGGAAGCUGAAUCAACCAGCGCACAUGGUCACUUGAAUCAGGACACUCCAGACACAGAGACGGGAGACAGUGCAGAGCCAAGGACAGAAGGGCCAGGAGAGAGGCUCUCCUCUCGGGAGGAAGUGACAAUAAUAAAAAUUUAAAUAUAAGAAGAAUAGUAAUAGUUUGUGCUUAUUGCAUGCU
ensembl:lncRNA